rnacentral:rRNA from 1 species
UACGUAGGGGGCAAGCGUUGUCCGGAUUUAUUGGGCGUAAAGAGCGUGUAGGCGGCCAGACAGGUCCGUUGUGAAAACUCGAGGCUCAACCUCGAGACGCCGAUGGAAACCGUCUGGCUAGAGUCCGGAAGAGGAGAGUGGAAUUCCUGGUGUAGCGGUGAAAUGCGCAGAUAUCAGGAAGAACACCCGUGGCUAAGGCGGCUCACUGGACUGGUAUUGACGCUGAAGUGCGAAAGCGUGGGGAGCGAACAGG